GGUCUUAUAGCAUAAUUGGUAAUGCAUUAGAGUUGGUAAUCCAGCUAAAGCAUGUGUGUUCAAGUCACACUGGGAUCA